rnacentral:tRNA from 1 species
CAGGAUGUAGUUUAUAAAAUAUUAAUUUUGGAGAUUAAAGAAAGGCUUAGGCUUUUUCCUGA